UGAUCCGCAUUUAUCUUCAGUUCGACGCUGAAUUUGAGCAGUAAGGCCGGUCUGUGUGAAUAUUGCAGCGAUGAAGUUAGUUAUGUGUAUCUUCUUGCUUUUGGCGAUCCUUGAGGGAUUUCAAUGUGCACCAUUCUGGGAAAUCCAGCUCCCUUCUCUUCCACAACCAGGGCCACUAUUGCAAGUUAACGUCGUACAAAAUCAAAUUACCAACAAUGGACAUCACAAUAACAUGCUCCUGCAAACGAAUUCAUUAUUAAAUCCAUUUGGAUUCAUAUUGUUGUAAGGAAUUUAAAUAUUUAAAUAUUAUGAA